CCGAGUUUAGCAACUCCCAAACCCCUGUGAACAUACCACUUGUUGCCUCGGCGGAUCAGCCCGCUCCCGGUAAAACGGGACGGCCCGCCAGAGGACCCCUAAACUCUGUUUCUAUAUGUAACUUCUGAGUAAAACCAUAAAUAAAUCA
rnacentral:misc_RNA from 1 species